rnacentral:ncRNA from 1 species
GCGAGCCACAUGCAGGGAAACUUGCACGUGUGGUUCUGGCCGGGAACCCCGGCAGGCAAAAAUGCUUCGAUAUCAUUGAAAAAGCAGUUUCCAUGUGCGUCAAGCACAUCUAUGAUUUUAAAUAACUAGUAAAGGAGUUGGCCUGGUCAAUAAGAGUGAGUCAUACUUUGGACUGCUU